CAUUAUGUGUUCAUAUUUCCUUGGUCUUUCUCCCAGAUGUUGAAUAAUUGGUUCAAUUGAGAUGGUGAAAUUCUCGAUUUACAUUUAUUCUUUACCCCAGAUCAACGUGUAUAUAUUGAUCACUAGUUACUAAAUGGAAGCUCUGGCCAAGGGACAACAAGGUUUGGAUGGGGGCUUAUGGAUAAUAAACAAUUUAAGAAGGAAAACACCUACAGUUCAUAUUGAUAAAACAUUCUGUAUAAUUGCCUUUGAAUAUUCUGUUUAGAACACUAAUGAGAGUAACCUCAUUAGCUAUUAAUUUGGAAGCACAAUUUGGCACCCAAUAUUCUGUGGCAGGUUGGCGUGCUCCGUUGGCUUUGCCCUUAUUUGUUGGGAAAGGCUCUUGCCUCCUGUGCACUGUGGCAUAUCCUAUGAACCACACUACCCGGCAGCCAAAGGGUGAUCAAUUUGGACCAAAGUUGUGAUUUUUGAGUGUCUAAAUGGUACCUGAUAAAAAGCCAUUGGGGUCAGGUGGUGGCUAUGGGGUGAGCGAAGGGUGUGGGCCUGCGUUAGUAAGUUACCACUAGGUGGCAGGCCAGGUAGGCAUCAGACAGAGGGGGUGUCCCCUGGUGGAGACUAGAUAGAGGGCUGUCUGCAAAGUCUACUCCCUCGAUAUGGCAGGAACUCUGCACCAGUGUGUGUGUGUGUGUGUGUGUGUGUGUGUGUGUGUGUGUGUGUGUGUGUCUAUUGCAAGGGGAAAGGCGAAUGGAAGAAUGAGUGCCCAAACCCCAAACAAAAAGAGGUCCCUAGCAUAGCUGCAAUGAAACUGAAGCCCCCACGAGGGCUGAGGCUGUCACCUGGGAGACAGGUCAGACCGAGCACCGCCAGGUUCGGUCACAAUUGGCCCUAGGAGCCCAUCGUCAAAAUAGAUGCUGGGCCCAAGCAAAGAUGGACUUCAUCUUUGACACAGGAGCAGCCAUCUCCAUGGUAACCCCUCCCACAGGGAAGCUCACCAAAGACGCAUCGACAUUGUUGGAGCCUCCAGGCCAGUAGAUGGUGCAUGGACUAGGAGAAAGCCAAUUACUGUCAGUCCUUCAGCCAUCACAGAGAAACGCAGCGGCACUGAGCCCUGUCCCAGGAAAUUUGCAACAAUUGGCAUGCAUAGCAUAUGGAUGAGUCCCCUGGAAGGAACAUCACUGUGGGGGAAAAUACCGGUCCUUCUUAAGAAGCUGUGACCGUGUGGACUUAACUUUGCCAGGGGCAUAGGACAGUGCACCCGCGGAAGGACAAGGGGUCUCCUUGUCAGGGACUAGCCCGGAAGCGGGACAAGAGAUACUCUGAAACUAAAGAUAACAAAGUUAGAACAGGGGUGGUCCUGGUAUCUUUGGGUUGGGAUGUGUGAAGGCAGGGAUGAAACAGACGGAUGGACCCUCAAAUGGUUAGAGCUUCCGCCAGUGCCUCUAUGCCUGAGAGCGAGGUCAAUUGGCUCCACCCAUGAGCCUCUGCUCCAUCCUGAGAAAAAACCAGAUUUAUCCAGAUUUGACUCUGGCGCCCUCUAGUGAAAACGCUUCAACUUGCAAGUGGCUUGGUGGAGUUAGAACUGGGAAAACGGUUGGUUGCUAGAUCUGUGUGAAGACCAGCCAGGCAACUUAACCCGUGCUGGGGUCACUAGCCCAACUCUAGAAAGCCAAACAGUCUUGGACAGCCCUGCUGACUCCCGCCUGACGGGUCCACAUGUCCAGGCAGGGGAAGCAGGGGAAAGCUGCACCUUGGUGACUUGAACCAAGGCCUAAAUGGCACAUGCUUCGAUUGUGCAGAUGGAACCUGUUACCCAGUGGGGGAUGGCAGGAUGGUAUUCCUGACUCCAGACCUAGAUAUUCUCCUUGUACCAGAGGUAGACCAAUAUUAAGGCCCUCAUCACCGGAAAGAGAGGAAUCCCAUCUUACUCUCAACGUUAUUGGAGAUGCCCCUCAAUGGCGCUGCUGUCACAGGAGCAACUAAGCUCAGGAUCCAACAGGUCGGGCAUAGCCAGCUGUCCAAUCAAAUCGAAGAGGGCCUCAGGCUAGGCCAGCAGAGUUACAGUCGCCUUGCAGAACUAGACAGAAGCCUUACGAAAUCAUAGCUGAAAGGUGACAUAGGUGUGUCUUCAGAGGAAAAGAUUGCUGUUUCUGCACAAACCACUUAGGGAUCGUAGAGAAAAUACCACAUGGCUGGUGGAAAGCAAGGUCGGAGACUCGACAAAAGGACCUUCCUGGGGUGGUGACACCUGGACCUCCGGGAGCCCAUGGCUGCUUCUGCCUCGCCCCUGGGUAUGAUCCUCCUGGCUGUCCUGUUGGGUCCAUGCCUAACUUUUGUCACCAGAAACAGGAGAGCAACAGAUAGACUCCAUGCCCUCCACCGGCAUCAGAGGUGCCUUGAGAAGGGUCACAAGGGAUUCUGACAAAGGAGAGGAGAGAAUGGGGUGGAGAGUCCUCAAACUGCCAUGUGUUAAAACAACGGAAAUUCCCCAGGGCUCGAGUUCCACUGAGAUGUCCCCUCCUGCUUGUGGUUAUCUCCAGAAACAGAAGGCACGGAGGAGGUGUGAUGCUUCGUGCACCAUUUCAAGAUUCGAGGCAAACUUGGAGGUCUGGCUUUGUGGGAGUGAGGAAUAUAAUAAACCUAUGAGCUUUGGGGGUUGUCUCACACCACGGUGUGGUCUCUUGUGACUAGGGAUCACUGGGAAAUACUGAGUGAAGACAUGGAGACCCCUGUACCCCUUUCUUUCUGUCGUGGUUUCCACUGAAGCAGACACACAUCAUGUUUAAACAAAUGGGCACACCUGUGUUCCAAUAAAUCUUAUCAACAAAACUUGGCAGCAAGUGUGGCUUGUACUGUAGUUGGCUAAUCUUCGCUCUAGACUAAUACUUU